CCCCUAGACGUUCUGGGCUGCACGCGCGCUACAAUAAUACGCACAGCGAGUAUCACCGAGCUCGAAAGGGCAGGGUAAACAAUAGAAAAGGUACUGUAAUGGUUAUAGAUCCUUGUAAUUAUUGAUCUUCAACGAGGAAUUCCUAGUAAGUAUGUGUCAUCAUCACGCACUGAUUACGUCCCUGCCCUUUGUACACACCGCCCGUCGCUCCUACCGAUUGAGUGAGCCGAUGAAACUGCCGGAUGUGGACUAUUCAUAGUCUGCAGAAGAUAUUUGAAUCGUAGCGCUUAGAGGAAGGAGAAGUCGUAACA
rnacentral:rRNA from 1 species